rnacentral:rRNA from 1 species
GUGCAAAGGUAGCAUAAUCAUUAGUUUUUUAAUUGAAGGCUUGUAUGAAGGGUUGGACAAAGAAUAAUCUGUUUUUAAUUUUAUUUUUGAAUUUAACUUUUAAGUGAAAAGGCUUAAAUAUGUUUGAGGGACGAUAAGACCCUAUAAAUCUUUAUAUUAAGUUAAUUUUUAUUGGUUAUUAUAGUGGAUUUAAUAAUAAAAUAAUAUAUAUUAUGUUGGGGUGAUAAGAAUAUAAAUAAAUAACUGUUCUAUAAUAAAAACAAAAUUAUUUGAAGUUUAAUAGAUCCUUUUUUGAGAUUAAAAGUUUAAGUUACUUUAGGGAUAACAGCGUUAUUUUUUUUGAGAGUUCUUAUCGAAAAAAAAGUUUGCGACCUCGAUGUUGAAUUAAAAUUUCUUUAUGGUGAAGUGGUUAUAAAAGAGAGUCUGUUCGACUUUU